AGAGUUUGAUCAUGGCUCAGGACGAACCCUUGCGGCGUGCUUAACACAUGCAAGUCGAACGAUGAACCCGGAGCUUGCUCCGGCGGAUUAGUGGCGAACGGGUGAGUAACACGUGAGUAACCUGCCCUUGACUCUGGGAUAACUGCUAGAAAUGGUAGCUAAUACCGGAUACGACCCUCGGCGGCAUCGCCAGGGGGUGGAAAGAAUUUCGGUCAAGGAUGGACUCGCGGCCUAUCAGCUAGUUGGUGAGGUAAUGGCUCACCAAGGCGACGACGGGUAGCCGGCCUGAGAGGGUGACCGGCCACACUGGGACUGAGACACGGCCCAGACUCCUACGGGAGGCAGCAGUGGGGAAUAUUGCACAAUGGGCGAAAGCCUGAUGCAGCAACGCCGCGUGAGGGAUGAAGGCCUUCGGGUUGUAAACCUCUUUUAGCAGGGAAGAAGCGAAAGUGACGGUACCUGCAGAAAAAGCACCGGCUAACUACGUGCCAGCAGCCGCGGUAAUACGUAGGGUGCAAGCGUUGUCCGGAAUUAUUGGGCGUAAAGAGCUCGUAGGCGGUUUGUCGCGUCUGCUGUGAAAAUCCGAGGCUCAACCUCGGACCUGCAGUGGGUACGGGCAAACUAGAGUGCGGUAGGGGAGAUGGGAAUUCCUGGUGUAGCGGUGGAAUGCGCAGAUAUCAGGAGGAACACCAAUGGCGAA
rnacentral:rRNA from 1 species